UGAAGUAUUGUUUGCCCGUAGAAGUGGCUCA
rnacentral:piRNA from 1 species